GAGUUUGAUUAUGGCUCAGGAUGAACGCUAGCGGGAGGCCUAACACAUGCAAGCCGAGCGGGAUUUGUUGGUUAGCUUGCUAACUAAUAAUGAGAGCGGCGUACGGGUGCGUAACACGUGUGCAACCUGCCUUUAUCUGGGGGAUAGCCUUUCGAAAGGAAGAUUAAUACCCCAUAAUAUAUUAAUUGGCAUCAAUUGAUAUUGAAAGCUCCGGCGGAUAGAGAUGGGCACGCGUAAGAUUAGCUAGUUGGUGAGGUAACGGCUCACCAAGGCUGCGAUCUUUAGGGGGCCUGAGAGGGUGAUCCCCCACACUGGUACUNNGACACGGACCAGACUCCUACGGGAGGCAGCAGUGAGGAAUAUUGGACAAUGGGUGAGAGCCUGAUCCAGCCAUCCCGCGUGAAGGACUAAGGACCUAUGGUUUGUAAACUUCUUUUAUACAGGGAUAAACCUACUCUCGUGAGGGUAGCUGAAGGUACUGUAUGAAUAAGCACCGCA
rnacentral:rRNA from 1 species